rnacentral:rRNA from 1 species
UACGGGGGGGGCAAGCGUUGUUCGGAAUUACUGGGCGUAAAGGGCUCGUAGGCGGCCCUCUCAGUCGGAUGUGAAAUCCCCAGGCUUAACUUGGGAACGGCAUCCGAUACUGGAGGGCUUGAAUUCGGGAGAGGGAUGCAGAAUUCCAGGUGUAGCGGUGAAAUGCGUAGAUAUCUGGAGGAAUACCGGUGGCGAAGGCGGCAUCCUGGACCGAGAUUGACGCUGAGACGCGAAAGCGUGGGGAGCGAACAGG